rnacentral:rRNA from 1 species
UACGGGAGGCAGCAGUGGGGAAUAUUGCACAAUGGGCGCAAGCCUGAUGCAGCCAUGCCGCGUGUAUGAAGAAGGCCUUCGGGUUGUAAAGUACUUUCAGUCGUGAGGAAGGUGUUAAGGUUAAUAACCUUAGCAAUUGACGUUAGCGACAGAAGAAGCACCGGCUAACUCCGUGCCAGCAGCCGCGGUAAUACGGAGGGUGCGAGCGUUAAUCGGAAUUACUGGGCGUAAAGGGCACGCAGGCGGUUAAUUAAGUUGGAUGUGAAAUCCCCGGGCUUAACCUGGGAAUGGCAUUCAAGACUGGUUAGCUAGAGUCUUGUAGAGGGGGUAGAAUUCCGAUGUGUAGCGGUGAAAUGCGUAGAGAUGUGGAGGAAUACCGGUGGCGAAGGCGGCCCCUGGCAAAGACUGACGCUCAUGUGCGAAAGCGUGGGGAGCAAACAGGGAUUAGAUACC